UCGUGCUAGAUGGGGAGUUAGCGGUGCCCUGUAACCCGAAAUCCGCUUAUGCGGGAUUGAAUUCCCUGCAGAGAGUUACAGUUAGACCGGGGCCUGUCUGUGCUUGUUGCUGAUUGGACACCGCGCAACAAACGGAUACGAACCCCGUCAGGUCCGGGAGGAAGCAGCGGUAAGUAUUGCAGUUUGUGUCGUGGUUACCUCUGAUCAGAGCUGCAACGCGGACGGUCCAUGGGAAAGCUGAGCCCGAAGUGGGGUGCACGA
rnacentral:SRP_RNA from 1 species